UUAAUGAAGAGUUUGAUCCUGGCUCAGGAUGAACGCUGGCGGCGUGCCUAACACAUGCAAGUCGAGCGAGAAU
rnacentral:rRNA from 1 species